rnacentral:rRNA from 1 species
CACGUAGGGGGCAAGCGUUGUCCGGAUUUAUUGGGCGUAAAGAGCUCGUAGGUGGUUCGGUAAGUCGGGUGUUAAACCCCCAGGCUCAACCUGGGGACGCCACUCGAUACUGCUGUGACUAGAGUCCGGUAGGGGAGCGUGGAAUUCCUGGUGUAGCGGUGAAAUGCGCAGAUAUCAGGAGGAACACCAGCGGCGAAGGCGGCGCUCUGGGCCGGUACUGACACUGAGACGCGAAAGCGUGGGGAGCGAACAGG